rnacentral:rRNA from 1 species
GACGAACGCUGGCGGCGUGCUUAACACAUGCAAGUCGAACGGAAAGGCCCUGCUUUUGUGGGGUGCUCGAGUGGCGAACGGGUGAGUAACACGUGAGUAACCUGCCCUUGACUUUGGGAUAACUUCAGGCAACUGGGGCUAAUACCGGAUAGGAGCUCCUGCUGCAUGGUGGGGGUUGGAAAGUUCCGGUGUUUGGGGAUGGUCGCGCGGGUUUCAAGCUUGUUGGUGGGGUAGUGGCUUACCAAGGUUUUGACGGGUAGCCGGCCUGAGAGGGUGACCGGCCACAUUGGGACUAAGAUACGGCCCAGACUCCUACGGGAGGCAGCAGUGGGGAAUAUUGCACAAUGGGCGGAAGCCUGAUGCAGCAACGCCGCGUGCGGGAUGACGGCCUUCGGGUUGUAAACCGCUUUCGCCUGUGACGAAGCGUGAGUGACGGUAAUGGGUAAAGAAGCACCGGCUAACUACGUG